GUUUAAGUAGUUUAAAAUAAAAAUUUUGACUUGUGGCGUCAGUGAUAUGAGAGGUCUCAUCUUGAACC
rnacentral:tRNA from 1 species